rnacentral:rRNA from 1 species
GAUGAACGCUGGCGGCGUGCCUAAUACAUGCAAGUCGAGCGAACGGACGAGAAGCUUGCUUUUCUGAUGUUAGCGGCGGACGGGGGAGUAACACGUGGAUAACCUACCUAUAAGACUGGGAUAACUUCGGGAAACCGGAGCUAAUACCGGAUAAUAUUUUGAACCGCAUGGUUCAAAAGUGAAAGACGGUCUUGCUGUCACUUAUAGAUGGAUCCGCGCUGCAUUAGCUAGUUGGUAAGGUAACGGCUUACCAAGGCAACGAUGCAUAGCCGACCUGAGAGGGUGGUCGGCCACACUGGAACUGAGACACGGUCCAGACUCCUACGGGAGGCAGCAGUAGGGAAUCUUCCGCAAUGGGCGAAAGCCUGACGGAGCAACGCCGCGUGAGUGAUGAAGGUCUUCGGAUCGUAAAGCUCUGUUAUUAGGGAAGAACAUAUGUGUAAGUAGCUGUGCACAUCUUGACGGUACCUAAUCAGAAAGCCACGGCUAACUACGUG